GUGGGGAAUCUUAGACAAUGGGCGCAAGCCUGAUCUAGCCAUGCCGCGUGAGCGAUGAAGGCCUUAGGGUUGUAAAGCUCUUUCGCUGGGGAAGAUAAUGACUGUACCCAGUAAAGAAGCCCCGGCUAACUCCGUGCCAGCAGCCGCGGUAAUACGGAGGGGGCUAGCGUUGUUCGGAAUUACUGGGCGUAAAGCGCACGUAGGCGGACCGGAAAGUCAGAGGUGAAAUCCCAGGGCUCAACCUUGGAACUGCCUUUGAAACUCCUGGUCUUGAGGUCGAGAGAGGUGAGUGGAAUUCCGAGUGUAGAGGUGAAAUGCGUAGAUAUCGGGAGGAACACCAGUGGCGAAGGCGGGUUCCUGGCCCAUGACUGACGCUGAGGUGCGAAAGCCGGGGGAGCGAACGGGAUUAGAAACCCGUGUAGUCC
rnacentral:rRNA from 1 species